rnacentral:rRNA from 1 species
CCAAUAGCGUAUAUUAAAGUUGUUGCAGUUAAAAAGCUCGUAGUUGAAUUUCGGGGUCAGUAGGUCGGUCGUGCCACUGGUAUGAACUGGUUUUACUGAUUCCUCCCUCUUGAAGAACUGUAAUGCCAUUAAUUUGGUGUUGCAGGGAAUCAGGACUGUUACUUUGAAAAAAUUAGAGUGUUUAAAGCAGGCUUUAGCUUGAAUACAUUAGCAUGGAAUAAUGAAAUAGGACGUUUGAUCCUAUUUUGUUGGUUUCUAGGAUUGACGUAAUGAUUAAUAGGGAUAGUUGGGGGCAUUAGUAUUCAAUUGUCAGAGGUGAAAUUCUUGGAUUUAUUGAAGACUAACUACUGCGAAAGCAUUUGCCAAGGAUGUUUUCAUUAAUCAAGAACGAAAGUUAGGGGAUCGAAGACGAUCAGAUACCGUCGUAGUCUUAACCAUAAACUAUGCCGACUAGGGAUCGGAUGAUGUUAAUUUUUUAAUGACUCA